GAUGAACGCUGGCGGCGUGCCUAAUACAUGCAAGUCGAGCGAACAGACGAGGAGCUUGCUCCUCUGACGUUAGCGGCGGACGGGUGAGUAACACGUGGAUAACCUACCUAUAAGACUGGGAUAACUUCGGGAAACCGGAGCUAAUACCGGAUAAUAUAUUGAACCGCAUGGUUCAAUAGUGAAAGACGGUUUUGCUGUCACUUAUAGAUGGAUCCGCGCCGCAUUAGCUAGUUGGUAAGGUAACGGCUUACCAAGGCAACGAUGCGUAGCCGACCUGAGAGGGGGAAAGGCCCAAAAGGAAAUGAGAAAAGGUCCAAAAUCCCAAGGGAGGCAGAAGGAGGGAAAUUUACGCAAUGGGGGAAAGCCUGAAGGAGAAAAGGCGCGGGAGGGAAGAAGGGCUUCGGAUCGUAAAAAUCUGUUAUUAGGGAAAAAAAAAUGGGGAAGUAAAUGUGCAAAGCUUGAAGGGACCUAAUCAGAAAGCCAAGGCUAAAUAAGGG
rnacentral:rRNA from 1 species